rnacentral:misc_RNA from 1 species
UUGAUUGAUUGUAUCAAUAGACUCAGACGCAAAGAUGCAGAGUUUGAGUGGUCCACCGGGGGCCCCUCGCCGCGUGUGCGGCCGGGUCUCCCCCGAGGCAACGAAGUCGGACGACAAAGGGUUGGAGGUCGGGCCGGAGGCCCUUCACUCGAUAAUGAUCCCUCCGCAGGUUCACCUACGGAGA